rnacentral:lncRNA from 1 species
CUACCCUCACCUUCUUCGCGGACCCAGAAGUUGCGGCACUUUUCCUCUUGUGGGCCUUGAGACCUUUGGCUAGUAUCUGAGCUACGUCUGUGUCCAUGUUUGCAAUGAAAAAAGAUUGACACAGCUUAGAAACAGAAUAAGAGAAAGAGGAAGCCGCGAAUGACUUGAGAAAAAAGAAAUACCGACAGGGUUGAGAGGGCUCAGGCCGACAUUGAAUAAAAGUUGCUCCUUCAAAAGGUCGGGGAGG